AAAUGGACUGCAUUUUUGUAGCACUUUUCCAUCUGCAUCAGUUGCUCAAAGUGCUUUACAAUAAUGUCUCACAUUCACCCUGAUGUGAGGGUGCUGCCAUACAAGGCACUCACUCCACACCUGGAGCAACCAGGGGAUUAAGCACCUUGCCAACGGGCCCUUAUUGAUUUUCCAGUCAGGCUGGGAUUUGAACCGAGGAUCCUCUGGUUGCAAGCCCGCUG